CCUACGGGGGGCAGCAGUGGGGGAUAUUGCACAAUGGGGGCAACCCUGAUGCAGCGACGCCGCGUGAGCGAUGGAGUACUUCGGUAUGUAAAGCUCUGUCAGCAGGGAAGAGAAUGACGGUACCUGACCAAGAAGCCCCGGCUAAAUACGUGCCAGCAGCCGCGGUAAUACGUAUGGGGCAAGCGUUAUCCGGAUUUACUGGGUGUAAAGGGAGCGUAGGCGGCAGGGCAAGCCUGAUGUGAAAGCCCGGGGCUCAACCCCGGGACUGCAUUGGGAACUGCCCCGCUCGAGUGCCGGAGGGGCAG
rnacentral:rRNA from 1 species